CUUUCCAUCUAGGCUAAGGCUUGCCAGCACUUGGAGCCUCUGCCCUGGCAGCGGUGAGAUGUCAAGGUGGGACUGGCCUCCUCCUAGCGGCACGUCUGGUACAUCCUGUGAUUCUCCCCCAAGCACAAGAUUCUGCUCUUGUGGGUGCUCCUUACCCUUCACCACCACGAACCACUGCACUGCAGAAGAGAGGCACGAAGAGUCCCUGAGAACCCAGGAUUCUCUACCCAUGUCAGCUAUGUACCAAGCAGCCUGGACGUUGUGAACAGACAAGAGACUGUCUACAAAGUGUGAGGCAGAGAAGCAAAAGCUACCUGACAGAGCUAUCCUUCCCUGGGUCAGCUACUCUCAGCGAUACUAAACCCGCUGGCACGUGGGACAUGAUUCUGCGUCUCCGUGCUGAAUCUGUCUGGACCGUCUUCGGGCCGAGCACAGUUCCAGCACCACUGGCUUACCAGCCCAACGCUCAAUGUGUGUGGUAAUGGUUGUGCUUUCUGGAAACUGCUGCUGGGCUUUGGGAACAUUCCAGCAGUGCUCAAGGGGUUAAAGAGGGAAAUUCUUUAAGUGACAGUAAGACAAUAUUAUUCAAAAGGCCGGUUAUUUAGAUACCUAAAGCUGCCACUAAUGUGG